rnacentral:rRNA from 1 species
UACGAAGGGGGCUAGCGUUGCUCGGAAUCACUGGGCGUAAAGCGCACGUAGGCGGAUUGCUAAGUCAGGGGUGAAAUCCUGGAGCUCAACUCCAGAACUGCCUUUGAUACUGGCGAUCUCGAGUCCGGGAGAGGUGAGUGGAACUGCGAGUGUAGAGGUGAAAUUCGUAGAUAUUCGCAAGAACACCAGUGGCGAAGGCGGCUCACUGGCCCGGUACUGACGCUGAGGCGCGAAAGCGUGGGGAGCGAACGAG